CAUUGAUAUGAUGAUUAUUAUUUUCUGAACUUCAUUGCGGACUGCAAUAUAGACAGACUACAAUUAUCUGAUCAAUG
rfam:Picea glauca, whole genome shotgun sequence.